rnacentral:rRNA from 1 species
UACAGAGACUGCAAGCGUUAUUCGGAUUCACUGGGUUUAAAGGGUGCGUAGGCGGGCAGGUAAGUCAGUGGUGAAAUCUCCGAGCUUAACUCGGAAACUGCCGUUGAUACUAUUUGUCUUGAAUAUUGUGGAGGUAAGCGGAAUAUGUCAUGUAGCGGUGAAAUGCUUAGAUAUGACAUAGAACACCAAUUGCGAAGGCAGCUUACUACACAACGAUUGACGCUGAGGCACGAAAGCGUGGGGAUCAAACAGG